AGUGAACGCUGGCGGUAGGCCUAACACAUGCAAGUCGAACGGCAGCACAGUAAGAGCUUGCACUUACGGGUGGCGAGUGGCGGACGGGUGAGGAAUGCAUCGGAAUCUACUUUUUCGUGGGGGAUAACGUAGGGAAACUUACGCUAAUACCGCAUACGACCUACGGGUGAAAGCAGGGGAUCUUCGGACCUUGCGCGAUUGAAUGAGCCGAUGUCGGAUUAGCUAGUUGGCGGGGUAAAGGCCCACCAAGGCGACGAUCCGUAGCUGGUCUGAGAGGAUGAUCAGCCACACUGGAACUGAGACACGUUCCAGACUCCUACGGGAGGCAGCAGUGGGGAAUAUUGGACAAUGGGCGCAAGCCUGAUCCAGCCAUACCGCGUGGGUGAAGAAGGCCUUCGGGUUGUAAAGCCCUUUUGUUGGGAAAGAAAAGCAGCAGGUUAAUACCCCGCUGUUCUGACGGUACCCAAAGAAUAAUCACCGGCUAACUUCGUG
rnacentral:rRNA from 1 species